rfam:Firmicutes bacterium CAG:110 genomic scaffold, scf87
ACAAUGGUACUUCCGUAAAACGCGGCCCGGCCAUAGUGAAGGCGGGGAGAUGAAACUUCUAUGA